rnacentral:rRNA from 1 species
UGUAGGCGGUUCGGUAAGUUAAAGGUGAAAUGCCAGGGCUUAACCCUGGAGCUGCUUUUAAUACUGCCAGACUAGAGUCCGGGAGAGGAUAGCGGAAUUCCUAGUGUAGAGGUGAAAUUCGUAGAUAUUAGGAGGAACACCAGUGGCGAAGGCGGCUAUCUGGUCCGGUACUGACGCUGAGGUGCGAAAGCGUGGGGAGCAA